UACGGAGGGUGCAAGCGUUAUCCGGAUUUACUGGGUUUAAAGGGUGCGUAGGUGGCGCCGUAAGUCAGGUGUGAAAUCUCGGGGCUUAACUCCGAAACUGCAUUUGAUACUACGGUGCUUGAGGACUGGAGAGGAGACUGGAAUUUACGGUGUAGCAGUGAAAUGCGUAGAGAUCGUAAGGAAGACCAGUGGCGAAGGCGGGUCUCUGGACAGUUCCUGACACUGAGGCACGAAGGCCAGGGGAGCAAACGGG
rnacentral:rRNA from 1 species